rnacentral:antisense_RNA from 1 species
CUUGACCGAGCCGAGCCACAGCGGCUGCUCGGGCGAGCGGCCCUGGCCGUAGGCGGCGAGAAGUGCCUGGCCCUC